rnacentral:rRNA from 1 species
GAUGAACGCUGGCGGCGUGCCUAAUACAUGCAAGUCGAGCGAACAGACGAGGAGCUUGCUCCUCUGACGUUAGCGGCGGACGGGUGAGUAACACGUGGAUAACCUACCUAUAAGACUGGGAUAACUUCGGGAAACCGGAGCUAAUACUGGAUAAUAUAUUGAACCGCAUGGUUCAAUAGUGAAAGACGGUUUUGCUGUCACUUAUAGAUGGAUCCGCGCCGCAUUAGCUAGUUGGUAAGGUAACGGCUUACCAAGGCAACGAUGCGUAGCCGACCUGAGAGGGUGAUCGGCCACACUGGAAAGGAGACACGGUCCAGACUACUACGGGAGGCAGCAGUAGGGAAUAUUCCGCAAAGGGCGAAAGCCUGAAGGAGCAAAGGCGCGUGAGUGAUGAAGGUCUGCGGAGCGUAAAACUCUGUUAUUAGGGAAGAACAAAUGUGUAAGUAACGAUGCACGUCUUGACGGUACCUAAGCAGAAAGCCACGGCUAACUACGUG